UACAGAGGUCUCAAGCGUUGUUCGGAUUCAUUGGGCGUAAAGGGUGCGUAGGUGGCGCGGUAAGUCGGGUGUGAAAUCUCGGAGCUUAACUCCGAAAUUGCAUUCGAUACUGCCAUGCUCGAGGACUGGAGAGGAGACUGGAAUUCAUGGUGUAGCAGUGAAAUGCGUAGAGAUCAUGAGGAAGACCAGUGGCGAAGGCGGGUCUCUGGACAGUUCCUGACACUGAGGCACGAAGGCCAGGGGAGCAAACGGG
rnacentral:rRNA from 1 species